UUGCAACAAAAUAUUUCUCAGAAAUAGUCAACACUAGUAAUGGAGACUUCAGAAAAUGUUCUAUGACAAUAAAGGAGUCAGUACCAUUGCAAGAAAUAUUUAGAAGAAAUAGGAAACUAAUAGUGGAUUCAUCAGGAAGUAUGAAACUAAGGUGUACAGCGUGACAGUUCA